rnacentral:rRNA from 1 species
GAUGAACGCUGGCGGCGUGCCUAAUACAUGCAAGUCGAACGAAACUUCUUUAUCACCGAGUGCUUGCACUCACCGAUAAAGAGUUGAGUGGCGAACGGGUGAGUAACACGUGGGCAACCUGCCCAAAAGAGGGGGAUAACACUUGGAAACAGGUGCUAAUACCGCAUAACCAUAGUUACCGCAUGGUAACUAUGUAAAAGGUGGCUAUACUACCGCUUUUGGAUGGGCCCGCGGCGCAUUAGCUAGUUGGUAGGGUAAAGGCUUACCAAGGCAAUGAUGCGUAGCCGAAUUGAGAGGUUGAUCGGCCACAUUGGGACUGAGACACGGCCCAAACUCCUACGGGAGGCAGCAGUAGGGAAUCUUCCACAAUGGGCGAAAGCCUGAUGGAGCAACGCCGCGUGGGUGAAGAAGGUCUUCGGAUCGUAAAACCCUGUUGUUAGAGAAGAAAGCGCGUGAGAGUAACUGUUCACGUUUCGACGGUAUCUAACCAGAAAGCCACGGCUAACUACGUG